UAAUACGUAGGGGGCAAGCGUUGUCCGGAAUCAUUGGGCGUAAAGAGCGUGUAGGCGGCCCGAUAAGUCCGCCGUGAAAGUCCAGGGCUCAACCCUGGAAUGCCGGUGGAAACUGUCGGGCUGGAGUCCGGAAGAGGCGAGUGGAAUUCCUGGUGUAGCGGUGAAAUGCGCAGAUAUCAGGAGGAACACCAAUGGCGAAGGCAGCUCGCUGGGACGGUACUGACGCUGAGACGCGAAAGCGUGGGGAGCAAACAGGAUUAGAUACCCUGGUAGUCCACGCCGUAAACGAUGGGCACUAGGUGUGGGGGGUGUCGACUCCCCCCGUGCCGACGCUAACGCAUUAAGUGCCCCGCCUGGGGAGUACGGCCGCAAGGCUA
rnacentral:rRNA from 1 species